rnacentral:rRNA from 1 species
GAUGAACGCUAGCUACAGGCUUAACACAUGCAAGUCGCGGGGCAGCAUUUUCUUAGCUUGCUAGGGAAGAUGGCGACCGGCGCACGGGUGAGUAACGCGUAUCCAACCUUCCCAUGUCCACGGGAUAGCCCGUCGAAAGGCGGAUUAAUACCGUAUGAGGUCACAUGCGGGCAUCUAAGUGUGACGAAAGGUUUAGCGGACAUGGAUGGGGAUGCGUCCGAUUAGCUUGUUGGCGGGGUAACGGCCCACCAAGGCGACGAUCGGUAGGGGUUCUGAGAGGAAGGUCCCCCCACAUUGGAACUGAGACACGGUCCAAACUCCUACGGGAGGCAGCAGUGAGGAAUAUUGGUCAAUGGACGUAAGUCUGGACCAGCCAAGUAGCGUGCAGGAUGACGCCCUAUGGGUGUAAACUGCUUUUAUGC